ensembl:lncRNA
UGCUCCCAGUCAGCAUGGCUCUGUUCUUUGUCUUUUGGGUUCCAGAACAUUUGCUACAGCUUAUGGAGUGUUUCUCUUCUCUCUCUUCUUGUCUUCCAUGUUGCCCGUUGGCACCUCAGUGGAGUUUCAGUGACCCAAACGCAGACUGCUCUGCAUUGACCAAGCGUGAUACCAAGAGAAGAGCUAGGCACCAGAACAGGCUGCUGGAUAGGAGACUCUGCCAUCAGAUGGCGUUGCCUGUUCUUCUUCUCUCCCCAGUUUGCAGAGUUGGAUGUGACCUCAGCAUGGAUAAGGGGUUUGACCAAGUGAGAUGGAAAAUGAAGUGGUAUACUCCAAAACAGACUUGCAGUGAGUAUACUUAUCCACCACAUGGUGAUGCCUUCCCUGACCUCCUUGAUUGCAGUGUGGGAUGUGCCCUGAUCCUUGGAAAGGGAUCCACUGUCCUAGUCGAAGCAGGAAGGACCAUUUUGACUAUUUGUCAACACCCACAUGGCAAUCUGAAUUUAGGAGCUGCUUUCACAGAUGCGUCGCUGCAGGGCAAAGAAGGCCUCAAAACUUCAGCGGACCUGUACCCCCAAGAGAGCUCUGAAACUUACGUUAAGAAAAUAAAUGUCUUAAUAUUUUUCUGUCUUCUAUAGUUUUAACUGUUGCUUUAGCUUGGCUGG